rnacentral:rRNA from 1 species
UACGUAGGGUGCAAGCGUUUAAUCGGAAUUACUGGGCGUAAAGCGUGCGCAGGCGGUUUUGUAAGUCUGUCGUGAAAUCCCCGGGCUCAACCUGGGGAAUUGCGAUGGAGACUGCAAGGCUAGAAUCUGGCAGAGGGGGGUAGAAUUCCACGUGUAGCAGUGAAAUGCGUAGAGAUGUGGAGGAACACCGAUGGCGAAGGCAGCCCCCCUGGGUCAAGAUUGACGCUCAUGCACGAAAGCGUGGGGAGCAAACAGG